CUACGAGUUUGAUCAUGGCUCAGGAUGAACGCUAGCGGCAGGCUUAAUACAUGCAAGUCAAGGGGGUAGCAAUACAACCGGCGCACGGGUGAGUAACGCGUACACAACAUACCAUAUACUGGAGUAUAGCUUUGGGAAACUGAAGGUAAUCCUCCAUAACAUUGCGAGAGGGCAUCUGGUUGCAAUUAAAGUUUCGGCGGUAUAUGAUUGGUGUGCGUUUGAUUAGCUAGUUGGUAGGGUAACGGCCUACCAAGGCGACGAUCAAUAGCUGGCGUGAGAGCGCGACCAGCCACACUGGAACUGAGACACGGUCCAGACUCCUACGGGAGGCAGCAGUAGGGAAUAUUGGACAAUGGAGGAAACUCUGAUCCAGCCAUGCCGCGUGAUAGAUGAAGGCCCUCUGGGUUGUAAAUAUCUUUUAUCUGGGAAGAAACACUCCUAUUCUUAGGAACUUGACGGUACCAGAGGAAUAAGCACCGGCUAACUCCGUG
rnacentral:rRNA from 1 species